AUCGUUAACAUCAAGACUCAUGAAUAUUAGCCAUGAGCUUUUUUCACGAUUGAAAGUGCUUUACAACCCACAGGCCUUCUUCACACACGCGGCAUUGCUGGAUCAGGCUUGCGCCCAUUGUCCAAUAUUCCCC
rnacentral:rRNA from 1 species